GCUCUGGUAGCUCAGGGGUAGAGCGCUUCCUUGGUAAGGAAGAGGUCCCGGGUUCAAAUCCCGGCCAGAGCU
rnacentral:tRNA from 2 species